UGGGGAAUUUUGGACAAUGGGCGAAAGCCUGAUCCAGCAAUGCCGCGUGUGUGAAGAAGGCCUUCGGGUUGUAAAGCACUUUUGUCCGGAAAGAAAUCCUUGGCUCUAAUACAGUCGGGGGAUGACGGUACCGGAAGAAUAAGCACCGGCUAACUACGUGCCAGCAGCCGCGGUAAUACGUAGGGUGCAAGCGUUAAUCGGAAUUACUGGGCGUAAAGCGUGCGCAGGCGGUUUGCUAAGACCGAUGUGAAAUCCCCGGGCUCAACCUGGGAACUGCAUUGGUGACUGGCAGGCUAGAGUAUGGCAGAGGGGGGUAGAAUUCCACGUGUAGCAGUGAAAUGCGUAGAGAUGUGGAGGAAUACCGAUGGCGAAGGCAGCCCCCUGGGCCAAUACUGACGCUCAUGCACGAAAGCGUGGGGAGCAAAACAGGAUUAGAUACCCUGGUAGUCCACGCCCUAAACGAUGUCAACUAGUUGUUGGGGGAUUCAUUUCCUUAGUAACGUAGCUAACGCGUGAAGUUGACCGCCUGGGGAGUACGGUCGCAAGAUU
rnacentral:rRNA from 1 species